rnacentral:misc_RNA from 1 species
UCCCCGUUGUAGCGAGGCAGUCCGUCCAGAGUGCUCCCUACUCUCGUAGGGUUGGCAACUGGACGCAAGGGUUGCGCUCGUUGCGGGACUUAACCCAACAUCUCACGACACGAGCUGAAGUCAGCCAUGCAGCACCUGUCACUCAUCCAGCCGAACUGAAGGAAACCAUCUCUGGAAUCCGCGAUGAGGAUGUCAAACGCUGGUAAGGUUCUGCGCGUUGCUUCGAAUUAAUCCACAUCAUCCACCGCUUGUGCGGGUCCCCGUCAAUUCCUUUGAGUUUUAAUCUUGCGACCGUACUCCCCAGGCGGAAUGCUUAAUCCGUUAGGUGUGACACCGAAGGGCAAGCCCCCCGACGUCUGGCAUUCAUCGUUUACGGCGUGGACUAC